GGGUCUGACUUUGGCUUUGACAGCAUGUAGAUGCAGAUAGUAAGCAAACAGAGUAAUGAUGGUUUAUACUCUUAAAUCAUAAUCAUCGAACAUAAUAAAUGGCGAAAACACUUACGCUCUCGCUGCCUGAUUGAAGCACAGUAAAUCGGCUUAAUUUCAUCUCAAGGAGUUGAAACGAGACAUCACCCGAUUGUCCUUUUUCCGAGACGUUUCGAUAUGGUGGUGCAGGAAUAUCGGAAAUAGGAUUUGAUAUGCCUCAGAUUAAAUCUGAAAUUUAGAGGAUAAGUUAUUGAUUGGUGGUCUUAAACCUGUUAAUAAUCGAAAAUUAAGUUAAGACUAAGUUUGUAGAAAGCUAAUUUGUUUCCAUGUUUGGACGAGGGUUCAAAUCCCUCCAGAUCCACAA
rnacentral:tmRNA from 1 species